rnacentral:rRNA from 1 species
CCGUAGGUGRACCUGCGGAAGGAUCAUUAUUGAAUGAAAUCAAAUCAAUCAUUUUACACAUACACCAUGUGCACCAACUGUAGGUUAACUCGGAAGAGUAAGACCUAUGUAUUUCUACAUUUACACCCUUUACAAUGCAUGUCUAUAGAAUGAUGGAAAAUAAAAUAAUAAAGCUAUACAACUUUCAGCAAUGGAUCUCUUGGUUCUCGCAUCGAUGAAGAACGCAGCGAAUUGCGAUAAGUAAUGUGAAUUGCAGAUUUUCAGUGAAUCAUCGAAUCUUUGAACGCACCUUGCGCUCCUUGGUAUUCCAUGGAGCAUGCCUGUUUGAGUGUCAUUUGAAUUCUCAACCAUGUUCUUUGUCUUGAUGGAGGGCAUGGAUUGGACUUUGGAGGUUGCUGGUGGCCAGAUAGCUAGCUAUCAGCUCUUCUGAAAUGCAUUAGCGAUUGAGGUUUUGAGUGCAAGUCAAUCUUUGGACAGACAUGCCAACUAGCCUUUGACGUGAUAAUCAUCCGUCGUAGUGAAUUUUUGGUAUUGCAUGAAUAGACUAUUGAGAUCGCUUCUAAUUUGUGAUCUAAUCUAAUCUAAUAUGAGCUACUUGAGUACUUAGCUACUAGUUGGCUUUCAGUGUUAAAGCUAGUGAACGCGGUAUAAAAGUGUUAGUGUUAGUAUUAGUAUUAAGCUUUUAAUGACUGACCUCAAAUCAGGUAGGACUACCCGCUGAACUUAAGCAUAUCAAUA